rnacentral:rRNA from 1 species
CAGCAGCCGCGGGAAUACGGAGGGUGCAAGCGUUAUCCGGAUUUAUUGGGUUUAAAGGGUCCGUAGGCGGACUUAUAAGUCAGUGGUGAAAGCCUGUCGCUUAACGAUAGAACUGCCAUUGAUACUGUAAGUCUUGAGUAUAUUUGAGGUAGCUGGAAUAAGUAGUGUAGCGGUGAAAUGCAUAGAUAUUACUUAGAACACCAAUUGCGAAGGCAGGUUACCAAGAUAUAACUGACGCUGAGGGACGAAAGCGUGGGUAGCGAACAGGAUUAGAUACCCGCGUAGUCCCUGUCUCUUAUAC